rnacentral:rRNA from 1 species
GAUGAACGCUGGCGGCGUGCCUAACACAUGCAAGUCGAACGGAGCUAUUCAGGAAACUUCCUUCGGGGAGCGGAAUCUUUAGCUUAGUGGCGGACGGGUGAGUAACGCGUGAGCAAUCUGCCUUUGGAUGGGGGAUAACAGCCGGAAACGGCUGCUAAUACCGCAUAAUGCAACGGGAUCGCAUGGUCCUGCUGCCAAAGAUUUAUUGUCCAAAGAUGAGCUCGCGUCUGAUUAGCCAGUUGGCGGGGUAACGGCCCACCAAAGCGACGAUCAGUAGCCGGACUGAGAGGUUGAACGGCCACAUUGGGACUGAGACACGGCCCAG